UGCCGCGUGAGUGAUGAAGGCCUUAGGGUCGUAAAGCUCUUUCGCCUGUGAUGAUAAUGACAGUAGCAGGUAAAGAAACCCCGGCUAACUCCGUGCCAGCAGCCGCGGUAAUACGGAGGGGGUUAGCGUUGUUCGGAAUUACUGGGCGUAAAGCGCACGUAGGCGGAUUAGAAAGUUGGGGGUGAAAUCCCGGGGCUCAACCUCGGAACUGCCUCCAAAACUGCUAGUCUAGAGUUCGAGAGAGGUGAGUGGAAUUCCGAGUGUAGAGGUGAAAUUCGUAGAUAUUCGGAGGAACACCAGUGGCGAAGGCGGCUCACUGGCUCGAUACUGACGCUGAGGUGCGAAAGUGUGGGGAGCAAACAGGAUUAGAUACCCUGGUAGUCCACACCGUAAACGAUGAAUGCCAGUCGUCGGGUAGUAUACUAUUCGGUGACACACCUAACGGAUUAAGCAUUCCGCCUGGGGAGUACGGUCGCAAGAUUAAAACUCAAAGGAAUUGACGGGG
rnacentral:rRNA from 1 species